rnacentral:rRNA from 1 species
AUUGAACGCUGGCGGCAGGCCUAACACAUGCAAGUCGAGCGAGAGGCGGACGGGUGAGUAAUGUCUGGGAAACUGCAAGAUGGAGGGGGAUAACUACCGGAAACGGUAGCUAAUACCGCAUACCAUCAGAUGUGCCCCGAUGGGAUUAGCUAGUGGGGGGGGUAACGUCUUACCUAGGCGACGAUCCCUAGCUGGUCUGAGAGGAUGACCAGCCACACGGGUACUGAGACACGGUCCAGACUCCUACGGGAGGCAGCAGUGGGGAAUAUUGCACAAUGGGCGCAAGCCUGAUGCAGCCAUGCCGCGUGUGUGAAGAAGGCCUUCGGGUUGUAAAGCACUUUCAGCGGGGAGGCGUUACCCGCAGAAGAAGCACCGGCUAACUCCGUGCCAGCAGCCGCGGUAAUAC